GGAGAGGAAGGGACACCAGCACUUUCUUCUCCACCACGUGAGGACCCGAGAUGAGCAAGACCUGAUUCCUGUCCCUAAGGAGAGGCUUCCGGGUGGACUGGACGUGAGUCAUCACCUGAAGUUUGAGAUGUUGGCUCUCAGACCCACCCGUUCUCUCCAGCCUCGGGGUCACGGCCAGCCAGCCUGCCUCUCACACUAGUGGGACCAGGGCAAGAAUUCGGGGCACAGGGGUCGCAGAACCCACGUUCGGAAACCCUCCAGUGAGAACCAGCUGCUGCUGCCCAGUGCACUCUGGGCUCCCGUCCAGCCCCCCACUCCGGCCGCAGACACAGGGAGCAUCGGGCCGGGGCGGCCUCACAGCCCAGGAUGGAUCCUAACCCACGCAGGGAGGACGUGCGCGGCAGGGAGCCCUCGGAGGCUGGCGGCUGCUCCCCAGGUGCGCCCUGUGCCUCUCGCCUGGGAGCUCCACCCGAGGGAGCCCGACGCCCUGUCCCCACAAAACGCGCGUCCCAAUAUUAACAGCAGCAGUGUUUCUAAUUUCCAAAAUGUGGAAUCAACCCAAAUGUCCAUGGACUGAUGGCGGCUGAGACGGCCGAAGCUCUCCACCCGCUGGAAUUCCGUCACCUGCAGCAGGGGCGAGGCCCCCACGAACCCCGGCGGACCCCCAGCCACGCGCUCGGCGAGGGAGCCACACACAGGAGGCCCCACGGGGUGGCAGGACGGCUCGUCCACGGAGAGGGGCUGGGCGCUGGGGACGGGAAGGGAUGGGGCUUCUUUUUGGGGAGAUGGAAUGUUCUAAUGUGGAUGGUGGUGGAUGCCGAGUGCUGUGAAUAUUUUUUUAAAAAUCACUGAACUGUGCACUUUUGGGCGAGAAUUGUAUGCUAUGUGACUUUGUGACUUGUAUCUCAAUAAAGUUGUUGGGGAAUCCCAGCUGCAGUCCUGGGACACCCUCCCCUUGGUGGAUCUGA